AGGUUUGCUGAGCCUUACAGUGUUAAAUGAAGAGUCAAGUGACUGCAAAGAUGAAGGCACCCUGGAAGUAACUGGGACUCUACAUUGGACUCAGGUCAUUUAAACCUUAACCCGUUCUUGUCUGUGGAGCCAAAGGCAAGGAGAUGCC